rnacentral:misc_RNA from 1 species
GGGCACCCGAACAGUUCAGCCGUGCUGCGUUGAUCUCUCAAGCUCGGGAGGCGCUAGUGGGGUGGGCUGCGUCGAUGAAUCGGGCUGUGGCAAUCUCCGAGCCCGCGGGUGGCACGACGGUCUGCUUGACUGUCAGCGACCGUGGUACCGAAGCUGCGCUCUUCGACGACUUUCGUGAGCACGACGUACUGCUCGUGCCUGGUUUCCGCUGCUUCGAGUUUGCCGGCGAUCGCUCAUGGUUUCGCCUUGGGUAUGCCCGGCAUGUCGACGUGCUGCGCCGAGGUCUCGAACAGAUCCGUUUGACCCUGUUCCAACAGUAGAGAGGAAUUAUUGAAAUGUUGUCUCGCUCGUCGGACAUCUUCUUCCUCGACGAUCUCAGCGCCGUCGGACCGACCGGCAACUGGUUUCGUGAUUCGAGUGAGCGCGGGCUCGCCGGUCGCGCGCUCGUCGACGUGCUCGAGUACUUGCGCGCCGAUC